CAGUGCUAAUUGCACAUAGUCAGUGUUCAAUUCUAUAUGAUCCAUAAUUUAAUUCUUAAUUAAAUAAAUUUAUAUAUUCAAUCAAGUCUUAUACUUCUAAAUUGAAUACAUAAAUAUCCGAUCAAUUCUUUUCUAUAUUGUUAGAUUUUGUGCGUGACUCCAUAGAUUCGAAUGCUAAGUCGGUAGUAUAGAAACAUCUUUCUAUACUAAUCGAAGUGAUCAUCUAGCAAUGA
rnacentral:lncRNA from 1 species